UACGGAGGGUCCAAGCGUUAUCCGGAAUCAUUGGGUUUAAAGGGUCCGUAGGCGGUUUAGUAAGUCAGUGGUGAAAGCCCAUCGCUCAACGGUGGAACGGCCAUUGAUACUGCUAGACUUGAAUUAUUAGGAAGUAACUAGAAUAUGUAGUGUAGCGGUGAAAUGCUUAGAUAUUACAUGGAAUACCAAUUGCGAAGGCAGGUUACUACUAAUGGAUUGACGCUGAUGGACGAAAGCGUGGGUAGCGAACAGG
rnacentral:rRNA from 1 species